AAAGCGUGCGCAGGCGGUUUUGUAAGUCAGAUGUGAAAUCCCCGAGCUCAACUUGGGAACUGCGUUUGAAACUACAAGGCUAGAGUAUGGUAGAGGGGGGUAGAAUUCCACGUGUAGCAGUGAAAUGCGUAGAGAUGUGGAGGAAUACCAAUGGCGAAGGCAGCCCCCUGGACUAAUACUGACGCUCAUGCACGAAAGCGUGGGGAGCAAACAGGAUUAGAUACCCCGGU
rnacentral:rRNA from 1 species